rnacentral:sRNA from 1 species
UCCGUUUGCCUUCCGGGAUGGGCUCGAGU